GGCCUCGUAGCUCAGAGGAUAGAGCAGCGGUUUCCUAAACCGCGUGUCGGGGGUUCGAGUCCCUCCGGGGCCGCCA
rnacentral:tRNA from 1 species